UUAACGGCCGCGGUACCCUAACCGUGCAAAGGUAGCUCAAUCACCUGUCCCUUAACUGAGGACUAGUAUGAACGGCUAAAUGAGGGCUCGACUGUCUCCUGGCGCCGAUCAAUGAAAUUGAACUCGCAGUACAAAUACUGUAAUAAUAACAUAAGACGAAAAGACCCUAUGGAGCUUUAAACCCCUAUAUUACCGAGAAUACAAUCAAGACUCACCCUAAUAUAUAUUUUUAGUUGGGGCAACUACGGAGCAAAACAAAAACUCCACGCAAGCACAUAACUAGCGCAUUACCAUAGGCCGCCACGCCACACUAACCCUCGACCCAGCAUAGCUGACCAUCGAACCAAGUUACCCUAGGGAUAACAGCGCCAUCUUCCCCCAAGAGCCCAUAUCAACGGGGAGGCUUACGACCUCGAUGUUGGAUCAGGACCCCCCGGCGGUGCAGCCGCUGCCAACGGUUCGUUUGUUCAACGACUAACGUCCU
rnacentral:rRNA from 1 species